rnacentral:rRNA from 1 species
AAAUGACUCUCGGCAACGGAUAUCCCGGCUCUCGCAUCGAUGAAGAACGUAGCGAAAUGCGAUACUUGGUGUGNNNNNNNNAAUCCCGUGAACCAUCGAGUCUUUGAACGCAAGUUGCGCCCGAGGCCUCGGCUAAGGGCACGUCUGCCUGGGUGUCAUGU